rnacentral:rRNA from 1 species
GGGUCAGUAGGUUGGUCGUGCCACCGGUACGUACUGGUCUCACUGAUUCCUCCUUCCUGAAGAACCGUAAUGCCAUUAAUUUGGUGUUGCAGGGAAACGGGACUGUUACUUUGAAAAAAUUAGAGUGUUUAAAGCAAGCUAACGCUUGAAUACAUUAGCAUGGAAUAAUGAAAUAGGACGAUCGAUCCUAUUUUGUUGGUUUCUAGGAUUGACGUA